CUCGCCGUCCAGCGCCGGCCAAGCGGGGCGAGAAGCCAGGCGCCACCUGCACCUUUCGCGUGCGACCUUCGUGUGAGGCCGUGGAGCGUGGAGAGGACACCGUGCUGCUGUGUCAUCCCCUGCCCAGACAGUGGCAGUCAUGGUUCCCAUUUCCCUGAUGUAGGACAGGCAUACCGUACAAGAGGAACCAGCCAGGUUCUUUCUCCACUGCACUGGAGGAUCUGGAGAGGACAUGGUGCCAGGACUGCUCCUCAGACUCCAACAAUGACAGGUCUCCGAGACUGAGUAUCUUACUACCUGACAACAUGGAGUGGCUGUGGCUUGUAACCUUGACCCUGUGUGAGACACUUCUGUGGGCAGAUGGGG